rnacentral:rRNA from 1 species
AACGAACGCUGGCGGCAGGCCUAACACAUGCAAGUCGAACGCUGCAGCAAUGCAGAGUGGCAGACGGGUGAGUAACGCGUGGGAACCUUCCCAAUGGUACGGAAUAGCCCAGGGAAACUUGGGGUAAUACCGUAUAAGCCCCAUGGGGGAAAGAUUUAUCGCCAUUGGAUGGGCCCGCGUCGGAUUAGCUAGUUGGUGAGGUAACGGCUCACCAAGGCGACGAUCCGUAGCUGGUUUGAGAGAAUGACCAGCCACACUGGGACUGAGACACGGCCCAGGCUCCUACGGGAGGCAGCAGUGGGGAAUCUUGGACAAUGGGCGAAAGCCUGAUCCAGCCAUGCCGCGUGAAUGAUGAAGGUCUUAGGAUUGUAAAAUUCUUUUACCAGGGACGAUAAUGACGGUACCUGGAGAAAAAGCCCCGGCUAACUUCGUGCCAGCAGCCGCCGUAA